AAAAUGCGAUAUCUAGUGUGAAUUGCAGAUUUACGUGAAUCAUCGAGUCUCUGAACGCAAAUUGCGCUCCACGGCUAUUCCGUGGAGCAUACCUGUUUGAGUCUCACCCUUUUUUUCUCUGUAAGAAAAAUGCGCUUUUUACUGUUUCGUGCAGUUAGCGUUAAAAAUAAUAACAAACAGGGAUUCCUUAGGAAAAACCACGCAGUGUGCUCAUACCACCUGUGUGUGUUUUUUCCUCAAAAUCCCCACAACAAAAAAGAAAGAGCUCAAAUCAGGCAGGACUACCCGCUGAACUUAA
rnacentral:misc_RNA from 1 species